rnacentral:rRNA from 1 species
GAAUUCGCCCUUAGAGUUUGAUCCUGGCUCAGGAUGAACGCUGACAGAAUGCUUAACACAUGCAAGUCGAUUCGAUUUACCUUCGGGUAUUGAGGAUGGCGGACGGGUGAGUAACGCGUAAGGAACUUGCCUCUUGGACUGGGACAACUGUUGGAAACGACAGCUAAUACCGGAUAUUAUGAGAUUCUCGCAUGAGAAACUUAUGAAAGCUAUAUGCGCCAAGAGAGAGCCUUGCGUUCCAUUAGCUAGUUGGUGGGGUAAUGGCCCACCAAGGCAACGAUGGAUAGCCGGCCUGAGAGGGUGAACGGCCACAAGGGGACUGAGACACGGCCCUUACUCCUACGGGAGGCAGCAGUGGGGAAUAUUGGACAAUGGGCCACAAGCCUGAUCCAGCAAUUCUGUGUGCACGAUGAAGGUCUUCGGAUUGUAAAGUGCUUUCAGUUGGGAAGAAGAAAGUGACGGUACCAACAGAAGAAGCGACGGCUAAAUACGUGCCAGCAGCCGCGGUAAUACGUAUGUCGCAAGCGUUAUCCGGAUUUAUUGGGCGUAAAGCGCGUCUAGGCGGAAAAAUAAGUCUGAUGUUAAAAUGCGGGGCUCAACUCCGUAUUGCGUUGGAAACUGUUUUUCUAGAGUACUGGAGAGGUGGGCGGAACUACAAGUGUAGAGGUGAAAUUCGUAGAUAUUUGUAGGAAUGCCGAUGGAGAAGUCAGCUCACUGGACAGAUACUGACGCUGAAGCGCGAAAGCGUGGGGAGCAAACAGGAUUAGAUACCCUGGUAGUCCACGCCGUAAACGA